rnacentral:rRNA from 1 species
GGUCAGAACGAACGCUGGCGGCAUGGAUUAGGCAUGCAAGUUGAACGAACUCCUUCGGGAGUGAGUAGCGGAAGGGUGAGGAACGCGUGAGUAAUCUGCCCCCCAGUUGGGAAUAACAGUUGGAAACGACUGCUAAUACCGAAUGUGGCUUAAGCUUCGCCUGGAGCUUUGGCUAAAGAUUUAUCGCUGGGGGAUGAGCUCGCGUCCCAUUAGGUAGUUGGUGAGGUAACGGCUCACCAAGCCGACGAUGGGUAGCUGGUCUGAGAGGAUGGUCAGCCACACUGGGACUGAGACACUGCCCAGACUCCUACGGGAGGCUGCAGUCGAGAAUCUUGGGCAAUGCGCGAAAGCGUGACCCAAGCAAUGCCGCGUGUAUGAUGAAGGCCCUCGGGUCGUAAAGUACUGUCUCCCGUGACGAAAUUUGACGGUAGCGGGGAAGGAAGCCACGGCUAACUACGUGCCAGCAGCAGC